GGUUAUUUUUAUAUUUAUGAAAAGCGUGAGGAGAAUUCUCAACUCGAGAUGUUAGAAGGUGCAAAAUCAAUUGGUGCCGGAGCUGCUACAAUUGCUUCAGCGGGAGCUGCUAUCGGUAUUGGAAACGUCCUUAGUUCCUCGAUUCAUUCCGUGGCGCGAAAUCCAUCAUUGGCUAAACAAUUAUUUGGUUAUGCCAUUUGCCCUUGAAAUUAUAUAACG
rnacentral:lncRNA from 1 species